rnacentral:rRNA from 1 species
CAGAGGUCCCGAGCGUUGUUCGGAUUCACUGGGCGUAAAGGGUGCGUAGGUGGUGAGGUAAGUCGGAUGUGAAAGCUCCAAGCUCAACUUGGAAAUGGCAUUGGAAACUACCUUGCUAGAGGGUUUGAGGGGGGACUGGAAUACUUGGUGUAGCAGUGAAAUGCGUAGAUAUCAAGUGGAACACCAGUGGCGAAGGCGAGUCCCUGGAAAACUCCUGACACUGAGGCACGAAAGCUAGGGGAGCAAACAGGAAUAGAUACCCUGGUAGUCCUAGCCGUAAACGGUGCGUAUUUGCUGUAAAAGGAAUCGACCCCUUUUGUGGCGUAGCCAACGCGUUAAAUACGCCGCCUGGGAAGUACGGUCGCAAGAUUA